GAUGAAGAACGCAGCGAAAUGCGAUAAGUAGUGUGAAUUGCAGAAUUCAGUGAAUCAUCGAAUCUUUGAACGCACAUUGCGCCCUUUGGUAUUCCUUAGGGCAUGCCUGUUCGAGCGUCAUUUAAACCUUCAAGCUCAGCUUGGUGUUGGGUGACUGUCCGCUUCACCGCGGACUCGCCUCAAAAUUAUUGGCGGCCGGUACAUUGGCUCUCGAGCGCAGCAGAAACGCGUAACUCGAGGUCCUCGUGCUGGCUCCCAGAAGCUAUCUUCACAAUUUUGACCUCGGAUCAGGUAGGGAUACCCGCUGAACUUAAGCAUAUCAAUAAGCGAAGGA
rnacentral:misc_RNA from 1 species